AUUGAACGCUGGCGGCAGGCUUAACACAUGCAAGUCGAGCGGAGUGGCGGACGGGUAAGUAAUGCCUAGGAAUCUGCCUGGUAGUGUGGGAUAACGUCCGGCAACGGGCGCUAAUACCGCAUACUCUCAGAUGAGCCUAGGUCGGAUUAGCUAGUUGGUGGGGUAAAGGCCUACCAAGGCGACGAUCCUUAACUGGUCUGAGCGGAUGAUCAGUCACACUGGAACUGAGACAGGGUCCAGACUCCUACGGGAGGCAGCAGUGGGGAAGUUUGGACAAUGGGCGAAAGCCUGAUCCAGCCAUGCCGCGUGGGUGAAGAAGGUCUUCGGAUUGUAAAGCACUGUAGGUUGGGAGGCGUUACCAACAGAGUAAGUACCGGCUAACUACGUGCCAGCAGCCGCGGUAAUAC
rnacentral:rRNA from 1 species